ensembl:lncRNA uncharacterized LOC107666824
CACAUUAAUCAGUUUUAUUAUUUGCGCUGCGUGUUUCAAAGCGAAGUAAGCAUUUUCCUCACGCGAACAGCUCGUUAUUCGGUGUUUUCCACGUCUCAGAACGGCUCAGUUCACUGUGAAUGAAUGCAGUCAACUCCAUCUCUGCAUGUAAUAAUCGGAACAAUGAAUGCUGUAAAUGUUGUGCAACUGCUCAUUGUGGUUUGGACCUUCUCCGCUGUCUGUCAAGGUUAUGAUGAUGAUUUCAUUGUAAACUGUGAGAAUGUGACUGGAUCUGUGGGGAAUGAAGUAACUCUCACCUGCAGCAUCUCUCUGCUGCUCACUGAAUGCUGCGUUACAAAGUAUAAGUUUCAAUACCCUGAGAGCAUUAAUGACUGCGCAGUCUGUCAUCAAGUUUUUCCUGUGAACCCCUGUGAACAGAGGAACAGCUUAACAUGCUGCUACACUCCAUCUACAGCAAUGACAGAACAAUUCAGAUUCUUUGUGCAAACAAACUGUGGAAUGAAAAGAAGAGGAUUCGCUGUGGGCAUAACAGAACCCAUGAAACGUGAAAUUGACACUGAAGCUCCUGGAAAGAAAGAAGAACCUGUCAGGGACAUAUCAGAAACAUCUGAACAGGAGAAAGCAGAAGGUCGUGGAUAUAAGAUCGCCGUCAUCGCUGCUGUUAUAAGCUGUUUUAUCAUCGUCAUAAUGCCAGUCAUUUACAGAUUGACACAAAAACACACCAAACGGAACAGGACGUUUCUGAGUGUUAGACAUGAAGACAACAACAGCAAUCAUCUAGAAAAUGUGAUAUAAUAGCAUCGACUAAGCAGUACCAAACUAAUUAACUAAUUUGUUUAACUUUCCAUACAGUGCUCAUGAAAGACACUCCAGCAAACUUAUCUACUAUCUGUUAAAAUUCAAACUAUACUGAACUGUAUAACUCUGACUGCAAAACUCUGUUUCUGUUUUAUAUUGAUUUCUGUGAAAUAAUGAUAUAUUAUAGAUCUGCUUGAUCAGUGUAUUUAGUGUUAAUUUUCUGCACACGCAAUUUCGUAAUAGUGUGAACAGUAAGGUUUUGUACAGUGUGUUGUAUUGAUUUAACAAGUAAGGAACUCAAAGACUUGUGAUAGGCUACUCUCUAAAGAAUAUCUUGAACAUGUUUUUUUUCACCACAUAAUGGAUCAGAACAGGAAACUGGGUGAAAAAUAGCUGCACAGAGCUCAUCUGUUCCUUUAGUUACUGAAUGAGAUUCCCUGGAUCUUGAUAUUCGUUUUCUGAAUCUGUACAGAGAAAAAGAAAGUAAAAUGAUCCCACACCUGUGAAAAACAAACAGUGUUCAUCAUGUACUUAGAUACUUCCAAUCCAGUGUGCAGCAGUCAUUUGAGUCCACAACAAACACAAUGGAUUAUUCGCACAAGCAGCGCACAUCACGAGCAGCAGCAAGGGUCCAUUUCACUCCAUUUGGUUUUUGUUUGUUGUUCUUAGGAAAAAAAAAAAAAUACUGAUAUCAAUGUUGGAGUCCUUCACAUUCAACACACCAAAUCACAAUUAUAUGAUGCCCAAACUACAACAUUCACACAUACGGUG